AGUGAACGCUGGCGGUAGGCCUAACACAUGCAAGUCGAACGGCAGCACAGUAAGAGCUUGCUCUUACGGGUGGCGAGUGGCGGACGGGUGAGGAAUACAUCGGAAUCUACUUUUUCGUGGGGGAUAACGUAGGGAAACUUACGCUAAUACCGCAUACGACCUACGGGUGAAAGCAGGAGAUCUUCGGACCUUGCGCGAUUGAAUGAGCCGAUGUCGGAUUAGCUAGUUGGCGGGGUAAAGGCCCACCAAGGCGACGAUCCGUAGCUGGUCUGAGAGGAUGAUCAGCCACACUGGAACUGAGACACGGUCCAGACUCCUACGGGAGGCAGCAGUGGGGAAUAUUGGACAAUGGGCGCAAGCCUGAUCCAGCCAUACCGCGUGGGUGAAGAAGGCCUUCGGGUUGUAAAGCCCUUUUGUUGGGAAAGAAAAGCAGCAGGUUAAUACCCCGCUGUUCUGACGGUACCCAAAGAAUAAGCACCGGCUAACUGCGU
rnacentral:rRNA from 1 species